GCAUAAAUAAAUAUAUUAUCCUAUAAUGCUGAUUUAUGUUUGUGCUUGCAUAUUUGCCAGUCCAUAAAUUAUAUUUAUGAAAAUGCAACUUAUUCUACAUGUUUUGACUCUUCAACAUGAAUUCAUCUUAAAUCAGAUUUCCGGCCCAAUAAAGGCUUAAUAUUUUGUAGCCUGGACAUAUAAUAUGCCAACAUUUAUAUUUUAGUUCCCAAUCAGCAAUGAUCUAUAUCUAGAUUCCUAAAUACAGGACAACAACAAGCAUUUCCCAUGAUAUUUAUUUAUAAAAAUGCUGUAGGUUAAACAUUAAAUAGCCAGAUUCAGUCUUAUUCAUUUUGAUUCAUUUCUCGCAUCACUUACAAAUAGUAUAAUGUUCUUGACAGAUACACUAUCCUCAAAGAAAUGUAAUAUUACUCCAUUAAAAAGUAAUGGGCAACAUCAUUUUAAACACAACUUUUUUGCAUCUAUGAAAAGUUUGAAUACUCUAGCUGGGUUGUGGGAAACAUGGAAAAAGUUUUAACAUAUUUGCAUCUUUUUUCAGCUACCAAUUUUUCAUGCAUGAACCCACAACUGUAAAAAAAAACACAUUAGUAGGUGAUGCACCUGAAACUGAAAAUAGGUGAGAGAAAGCAGAAAGGCCACAAUCAUACUGACACUAUGAAAUAUGUAUGAUGUUUGAUAAUGCAUCCUAAAUGUUUUAUGUAGUGUAAACAUAAAUGAAAAAAAGACAUGCAACAGUCUCCACUGAAAGUUCAAAAUAUCCUCUUACCCACAAACAUACAAGCAAAACACAAACCACAUAAUGAGACACAUGUCUAAAUAACAUCAAUAGCUUUUAAAAAAAUAAAAUUCUGAAAAACAAGGCUAAAGAACAAUAAUUCAUGUGAGUGCUCGGUGAUAUGGCUGUACCAUAAAGGACAUGAAUGCUUAACGAAAGCUUGGUGCAAAUACAUGAACAUCUAAAAAGCUAAAAAAAAAAAAAAAAAAAAAAAAACCUGUACUACAUUUUUCAUAAAAUGUCAGAAAAUUGGAAGUGAAACUGAAAGGUGAAUAUGCGUACUGAGAAUGGGGAGUUAGUAAUUUCCCAUAUCAGAAAGAGGAAACAGAUAGUGUACAAGUAACCACAUGCGUUAAAGGCACAACAUAACACGAAAUGCACUACAGAUUCUGAUGAAUCGCUUGUUGGAUUCUUUUAACAGCUGUUGACCAAAACAAGCGUUAAUUCCUCACAAAUAAACCCAUCUUGGCGAUUGAAUUAGAUGUGCAGUUGCCCUCCAAUCUAACGAAUUAGGGAGCAGUCUUUAUAAUAAGUGAGAAGCAGCAAUUCUGGCUUUCGGUUCUGCUGCAUUUGCUCAGUGCGCAUAUUUUGCCCCCAAAUCUGCACUAAGCAGAAAAACCGUCUCUUUCAAGAGAGGACAGUGUGAAAUGAGAUCAGGACACCGUGUGUGUGUGUGUGUGUGUGUGUGUGAGAGAGAGAGAGAGAGAGAGAGAGAGAGAGAGAGAGAGAGAGAGAGAGAGAGAGAGAGAUGAAAACGUCAAAUCCUCGUCGUUCACCUUUAAAAUACAUCACCGCAGUGUUUGCGUAUUGGAGCUUGGCUGGCGCGCGCAUCGGAAGGGCUCGCUGCACCAUUGCACCUGUUCUCGAGGUUACAAAUCACAGGAAGUCGCUGUACAAAAACGGCGUAUUCGUCGAGCUUAUGGUUUAGACUCGAAAAGAAUUACCCGAGGGAGAAAAAGAGAGAGCGGAAGAGACCAGACAGCUGUCAGACAUCGCUUUGUUGUCGGAAUACAGUGGAGGAUGCAGCCGUGGUCUCUGAAGAGCACAGAGCUUGUGGUUGGCAGUGAACUGAGAGUAACAACGAGGUGUACCUGACUGGGAAACCAAUUUCAGUCAGUCCACAUACAGAUAUAGUCAUUCUGCUGGAUGCUUCCUAUAACAGUAAUGAUGAGAGUAAUCCUGUAUGUUAGAACUUAAAAUGUUCACCGAGAGAUUGAAAUCAUCUCUGGAGCCUGUGCGGCUGUUAUUUUAUUCCAAGGCAGAAGGUUGCGCUCAGCCCUUCUGAAUAUUUUAGUGAAUGAGGAACCUAUUGAACGGAGCUCUUCUGGCAGCACUGGAGAAUUUCAGUGUUCAUGGCUAGAACAGAAACAUUUAUGUUGGUCACUUGAGUUCCCCAAAAACUCCUUAUUCACACAGAUGCAGUACUUUGGAAGGGAGGUGUAACAAAAGGGGCAAGGCCAACUGAAAAGUGAGAGCUUCCCACAACUUCAAAUCAUGCAAUCAGACGAUCUCUUCAUCCGCAAGCUCCGCAGGCAGAGCCCACGCCCGACCCUAGCGAGAGUGAACUUUGACCCCAAGCAGGAUGGUGGUAGCGUGCGGACACGAGUCGUGGCAGAAUGGCCUCCUAGGAGAGAGGGAGAGGAAACAAACAGCGAGACUGUCACACCCAGCGCAGCUGCACUGAACCUGAGGACAGUAGGUCGUGGACACAUAAUGCAGCGCAGCAACAGUGACGUCACCCUUGGAGAUUUGGAUUCAGCGGGGCAAGUCGGAAGGAAGCUGCUCCGAGUAGGGGGGGACAAAUCUGGGACUGUGGGGCCAUGCGAGUCCCUCCACCGAGAGUACGGUAGCCUGUCCUCACUAGAAAGACAAACCCAGAUUGUAGAUCACAGUUCGGAAGAUCAAGGUGUUCUCAGUCCCAGUGCCUUGCGCUUCAGAGAUCCGUUUAUUCUGCUGGGUCUGCAAGAGGCACCUCCGGAGGUGGAUGGCGUGUAUCAAGGAAACUGUUCUCCAGCAGCAGACACAUCAAAACCGGUUAAGCCCCCAAAACCAGAGGGGCUCAAUAAGAAGGCUAAAUCGUCCCCUCUGCAGGCCUCUCAGUUUUCCUAUGACCAAGUCCCAGGUGGUGCUUGGGUGCGCAAUUUUGCACACUAUGACGUACAGAGCAUCCUCUUCGACCUGUCGGAGGCUGCAACCAAUCGAGACAGCAUCGGACGCAAGAAGAACAUCACGUCCGGUGCGUCAGCUGCCUCUCAACUCCGUCCACUUUCACAAUCCACACCUUCCUCAGUUUCUCAGGGCGGAGGGGGCAGCUUGGGAAGCGGGACUGGCUCAGAAGAUGUAGAGCAGUCCUUGCUCGACGAAGGAGAUGGGAACGAUAAUGAUCUCCUGCUUAGCUGUCCUCACUUUCGGAAUGAAAUGGGUGGCGAGGAGAGUGUGGGGCUCAGCCUGCCGCGGGCCAGCAGGCACAGGUGGAGGAGUCUUCAAAGUCCAAACAAUGCUGUGUCCGUGUUAGAGGAGCCCAGGGAGAGCCAUGUCCAGGCACAGGGGAAAAGUAACUACUUCAUAGAGCAUGCAGACCUUGGGGCUCGAUACUAUCACAAGUACUUUUACAUGAAAGACCAUCAGAAUUUCUUUGGCAUGGACGAGCGUUUGGGGCCAGUGGCCGUCAGUUUCCGCAGGGAGGAAAAAGAGGGAUCAAGUGGGUCCCAGUACAACUACAGAAUCAUUUUCAGGACCACUGAACUGAAGACCCUGAGAGGUUCGAUCCUGGAGGAGUCCGUUCCCUCCGCAGCGCGCCACACCACGCCACGCGGCCUUUCGCCCAAGAGACUGCUGGAGUUUAUUUUGCCCGAUCUCAACCUACAUUGCCUCAGACUAGCCUCCACGUCCCCUAAAGUCAGAGACACGCUCCUUAAACUGGACGAGCAGGGGUUGAAUUUCCAGCAUAAGGUGGGCAUUAUGUACUGCAGAGCAGGACAGAGUACUGAAGAGGACAUGUAUAACAAUGAGAGCGCCGGACCAGAGUUCGAUGAGUUUCUGGACCUUCUUGGAGAGCGAGUACGACUCAAGGGCUGGGAGAAAUACAGAGCUCAACUAGACACCAAAACUGACUCCACUGGUACACACUCACUGUAUACUCGCUACCAGGAUUACGAGGUUAUGUUCCAUGUCUCCACCAUGCUUCCAUACACAGCCAACAAUACACAACAGUUACUGAGGAAGAGACAUAUAGGGAAUGAUAUCAUCACUAUAGUCUUCCAGGAGCCAGGUGCUUUACCCUUCACCCCCAAGGCCAUCCGUUCUCACUUUCAGCAUGUGUUCAUCAUUGUCCGAGUACAUGAGCCCUGCACCGAAAACACCUAUUACAGAGUUGCAGUAACUCGUUCCAAGGACAUCCCUCUCUUUGGUCCUCUCUUCCCUAAAGGUGCACGCUUCCCACGUUCUCCUGCCUUCCGGGACUUUCUCCUCGCCAAAGCCAUUAACGCAGAGAAUGCGGCAGAGAAAUCAGAGAAAUUUCGCUCUAUGGCCACACGUACGCGGCAGGAGUACCUGAAAGACCUGGCGGAAAACUAUGUCACCACAACGCCCAUUGAUUCUUCCACCAAAUUCCCCUUGCUGUCGCUGGGCGGGAAGCGCAAAGAGAAGCUGAAGGGAGCGAAAGGUGCAGAGCUUCACAGCGCAGGUGCUUUAGUGUGGGCCGUCACCGUCGUUCAGGGUGGCGAGAACAACGGUCUGAGCCUGUCCUGUCUGCUCGGUGUGUCUGCGGAGUCGGUCGUGCUCAUAGAGCGAUCCACGCGAACCGUCAUAUUUAACUGCAGCUGCCGCGAUGUGAUCGGCUGGAAGGCUGUGACCGAGCCUGGAGCUCAGGGUGGCCCUUCGCUAGAUAUCUUCUAUGAGAGAGGCGAGGCAGUGACUGUCACGACGUCGGAAAGCCAAGUUGAGGAUAUUAAGGAGGUUGUCCAAAGGCUGGAGCUGGUGACUCGAGGCUGUGAGGCACGUGAGGUCAUUCCCCUGCGGGACGGUGUCGGUCAGCCGGGCUUCCUGAUGAGCGAGGAAGGCUUUGUAACGGAGCUCCAGCGGUUCGGAUACGCGGAGAGCGGUGGGCUGCAGCUGGGGGCUCGUGUGGUUCGUCUCUGUGGGCAGGUCCUGGUGCACCUCAGCCUGGAAGAGCGGAGCCGACUCCUCCGCACGGCUCAAAAGAUCCACAUCACAGUCAUUCCUCCAGAUGAAAACGGAAAACCACGCAGGAGUUUCUCUGAGCUUUACCACAAGGCCAUCCAGGACGCGGAGAGCAAAUCUGGAGAGGGACAGUCAGGCGAGGCCUGGGUUCUGGAUGACGAUGAAGAAGUUGAGGUUGAUGGCGGCAGAGGAGAGAAAGAGGAGAAGAAAGAGAUUGAAAAUAAGACGUCAGACAGUGAAACUCUAAAGCAGGAGCUUCUUGGAGAGCAGAUGGUAUUUCCAGAGCCCAUGGAAACAGAUUCGCUCCUCUCCCCACCCAGCCUGCCUCUCUUACGGGCGACGUCCCUGCAGGACAGCAUGAAGAGCCAGAGUCCUGAAGUCACCCCCGUCUCUGUCACACGGAGCUACUCGCUAGAGGAACACCCUCCGUACCAGGACAUGAUUGAAGGGCAUGUGUAUGAUAACGUGGGGCUGAAAGCAAACAGGCACAUCUAUGAAAACCCUACAGAGCUUUGGGGCGAGACCCCUGACCUCAUACUGGCAGUCAAACCCAAAGUGCCUCUGGAGCAAGAGGAACAGUCUGUCUGUGAUCAGGGGCCUGAGGAGAGGCCAUCGGUCAGUGAUGUGACCAUGAGAUCCUCCUGCAUGGAAAGUGCAGAAAGAAACUCCAGAGCUCUGAGCCUCCAUAACUCCAUCACUAAGAUUCUCUCAGAGACCACAGAUUCAUCUGAAGAAGAGUGGCAGUCGAUUUCUGAUCUGGCCAGCGCCUGUCGGAACAUUCUGGAAGCUUUGUCUCGAGAAGACCGGAAGUCAGGAGAUGGAUCACAAGCAUCCCCAGAAAACCAGCCAGGUCAGACAGAAACCAGGUUUAAAGACAUGAAGGACAGUGACUCGCCUGGUCACCUUGAGGAGAAAGUGUCCCAGCUCGAGGCCAUGCUGAAGCGACUGCAGGACGACCUCCAAAAGUCCUUGCCCUCUUCGCUACUUCAAAGAGCCACUGCUACUUCACAGAGCCAAUCACACAGAGGGACUGUAGAGGUAGGGCGGGACAAGCAAAAGAAACCUGUCUUGUCAUUGAGCAGGGUGAACAGAGGAGAUGAGAAGAUUGCUGGAGGGACAAUGGGCAGCCAUGCUCACUCUCAACACUAACCCACCAAUGGCAGUUAAGGUCAGGAAGGGAAAGCGAGGGUGAGCAUGGUUGACUGCAUAAUGUCCCACAGUUUUCCAGCACACUCAUCUAGGAGAAAGAGGACAAGGCAAUGCUGCAAGCAGAGGUGCAAAGUCUCAGGCAGAACAACCAGCGGUUGCAGGAAGAGUCCCAGAGCACCGUGUCACGGCUGAUUAAGGUCACCGAACUGCUCUGCAACGUCAACAAACC